rnacentral:rRNA from 1 species
AUAUUGGACAAUGGGGGCAACCCUGAUCCAGCCAUGCCGCGUGUGUGAAGUAGGUCUUNGGAUUGNANAGCACUUUAAGUUGGGANAAAGGGCUUUAGGUUAAUACCCUGAAGUUUUGACGUUACCAACAGAAUAAGCACCGGCUAACUCUGUGCUAGCAGCCGCCGUAAUACAGAGGGUGCAAGCGUUACUCGGAAUUACUGGGCGUAAAGCGCGCGUAGUUGGUUCAGUAAGAUGGGUGUGAAAUCCCCGGGCUUAACCUGGGCACUGCUUUCAUAACUGCUGAGCUAGAGUACGGUAGAGGGUAGUGGAAUUUCCUGUGUAGCGGUGAAAUGCGUAGAUAUAGGAAGGAACACCAGUGGCGAAGGCGACUACCUGGACUGAUACUGACACUGAGGUGCGAAAGCGUGGGGAGCAAACA